CCUUUAAGGGUCUUCGUGGGCACGUUCUCUCUGGCUAUUCGGUCCUCCUUUUGUUAGAGCGCUGGUUUUCCUCAGGGCUACACCUGCUCCCGUGCAAUCCGGCGCCAUCGCACUUUGGGCGAGCAUGGUAUUGGGGAGUAGCGUGGUUGGAACGGAGCUGACGUCUGCCUGGCUCUGGCGAUGGGUGGAGAAUGGCGCCAGGAGACUGGUCGCGGAUGCCAAGGUGACGUGGCAGCUCUUGGUGUGACAUGGCGCCAUGUAUACACAGCAGCUUGUGUGAGGAAGUUCUGGUGUCCUAAUGAAAGAACCCUUUUUCUGAAGAUGUUAGGUGUUUAAUGAAAGAAGGUAAGGUCUCUCAGGCCCUUGCUGUCUGUUCUCCAGUGCGGUAAGAGCUGCACAGGAAACUUAGAGAGGGCAGGCAGCUCUUUGUUCGAGGCUGGGAAUGGCUCAUCGUGGAUGGAUCGCUUUCAGGACUCAGAAGAUUUUAUUGGAGGUCACCGAUUGAAGCAUAUCAUUUCUUUGUGUCCUUCAAAUGAUACGAAAUUCAAGUCCAACAAAAAUUUUUUUUCUCCUUAUUUUACUCAGGAUUGAAGUCAACCACGUCAUCAAGGAAUUGUGUUCUUGGUGAUGUCUGGAAGAGAUGCAUGGCUUUGGACAAUGAUUAUGAAAUACAGGAAAGGAAUGAAGUCAAAGGAUAUUUUUUGUAAGAGAGUAACGUUUACAGAUGUAUUCAGUAAUUUGAAGAUUUAUAUAAGGCCUGGUGACCUCAGUUCAUUCCUGGGAUCCACAGUGUGGAAGAAGAGACCUGACUCCUGAAAGUUGUCUUCUGAUCACAUAUAUACAAUAAAUGUAAUUUAAAAAAAUCAAAAUAGUAAAUCUGAAACAUUUGAAUGUUGCUGCUUUAUUGAAAUGUAAACAUGGUGCAAAGGAUUAUGGGACAAACUGCUGAAUGCUUUGUGACAGUUUUGUUCAAAACUUUAUCCUGUUUUGAAAUGAGAAAUGGAUCAAAAUUGUCAAAAGGAUUAAACUCUUUGUAAAUCUUA